rnacentral:rRNA from 1 species
UACGGGGGGGGGGCAAGCGUUGUUCGGAAUUACUGGGCGUAAAGGGCUCGUAGGCGGCCAACUAAGUCCGACGUGAAAUCCCAAGGCUUAACCUUGGAACUGCGUCGGAUACUGGAUGGCUUGAAUUCGGGAGAGGGAUGCAGAAUUCCAGGUGUAGCGGUGAAAUGCGUAGAUAUCAGGAGGAACACCGGUGGCGAAGGCGGCUAUCUGGACAGAGUCUGACGCUGAGGCGCGAAAGCUAGGGGAGCAAACAGG